rnacentral:rRNA from 1 species
UACGUAGGGGGCGAGCGUUGUCCGGAGUUACUGGGCGUAAAGGGCAUGCAGGCGGUCCGACGCGUUUUUGUGUGACAGCGGGUGGCUUAACUACCCGAGGAUACGAAAGACGGUUGGACUUGAGGACUCGGAGAGGGACACGGAAUUCCGGGUGGAGUGGUGAAAGUGCGUAGAUAUCUGCAGGAACACCCGUGGCGAAAGCGGCGAGCUGGAUCAC